rnacentral:rRNA from 1 species
ACUGGGCGUAAAGGGCACGCAGGCGGUGACUUAAGUGAGAUGUGAAAGCCCCGAGCUUAACCUGGGAAUUGCAUUUCAUACUGGGUCGCUAGAGUACUUUAGGGAGGGGUAGAAUUCCACGUGUAGCGGUGAAAUGCGUAGAGAUGUGGAGGAAUACCGAAGGCGAAGGCAGCCCCUUGGGAAUGUACUGACGCUCAUGUGCGAAAGCGUGGGGAGCAAACAGGAUUAGAUACCCUGGUAGUCCACGCUGUAAACGAUGUCGAUUUGGGGAUUGGGCUUUGAGCUUGGUGCCCGUAGCUAACGUGAUAAAUCGACCGCCUGGGGAGUACGGCCGCAAGGUUAAAACUCAAAUGAAUUGACGGGGGCCCGCACAAGCGGUGGAGCAUGUGGUUUAAUUCGAUGCAACGCGAAGAACCUUACCUACUCUUGACAUCCAUGGAAUCUUGUAGAGAUAUGAGAGUGCCUUCGGGAACCAUGAGACAGGUGCUGCAUGGCUGUCGUCAGCUCGUGUCGUGAG